CCAGUUAUCGUGCCAACGGUAAACGCUGGGUAGCCAAGUGCGGAGAGGAUAACCGCUGAAAGCAUCUAAGUGGGAAGCCCACCUCAAGAUGAGUACUCUCACUCUGUUAAGGAGGUAAGGUCACAGCAAGAACAGCUGUUGAUAGGCGUUAGGUGGAAGUUUAGUAAUAGAUGAAGCCGAGACGUACUAACUGACCGAGGGCUUGACCACAA
rnacentral:rRNA from 1 species